AUGGGGGAGAAAGAAACAUCAAAGGAAACUAUGGUUUAUGAAUCUAGCAAAAAUGAUGAUGAACCUAUCAUGUUUUUAAACCCAAAACCUCUAAGUAUAAUUGUUUUCGUUCAUAUUUCAUCAAGAAGAACAAACAACACUACUACUAUGAAGAAUAAAUAUGCUAAAAAGGCGAUCAGGAAUAGUCCGUCAGAGCUUAGAGAUUAG